ACAAAAAUAACUAAACUGAAAUUUAGCUGGAAGCCUGGCUCCUCAUUUGUCAUAAACCCUGCUGUUGGUGAUAGCUGACAAAGACCCUAAUGCCGAACGGGGUUGAGGUUCCCUUCCUGACCUCACCUUUCUUUCUGAAUGGAAACAAGAGCCUUGGAAACAAACCAGAAUGCUUUAAGAUCUGCGAUGAUUAAGAACACCUGUGGCAACACCAAACAGAGCCCACAAACAUCGUGCUGAUGAGCAAGGACUAGGGAAGAAGAUGCUCAAGAAACAUCCAUGAAAACAACCAGGAGGGCUUUGAGAGAAUGCGGAGCUGGAGCUCGGAUCUUCCUUUCUGAAAAGCAUGAGAAAACCCAGAAGGCUCUGUCUUAAGAUAAAAAGACCAGGGACUUUCUAGGGGUCAUAAGGUUAACUUAUAACAGUCUUUGACAUCUGGAAAAUGAAAAGUAAACACCUGCAGUUCUCCAGUAGCAGCUAUAUGUUACAUGACAAAAAUGAGACACC
rnacentral:lncRNA from 1 species